UUCUUUCAAUGGGAGAAUGAACAAUGAUC
rnacentral:piRNA from 1 species